AUCCGCUCCAAUGAAUUUUGAAGGGAGGCCCAUGGACGCUGCAACAUUGAAGGUCCAGAAGGUCUACAGGAGUUACAGGACCAGACGUCAGCUUGCCGACUCUGCUGUCAUCGCCGAAGUGCUAUGGUGGCAGGCCAUCAAUUUCGUCCGCCUAAACCACAGCACGAUCUCCUUCUUCAAUUAUAGCAAGCCGGAAACCCCUGCUGCCAAAUGGAGUCGAGUUAGCGGAAACGCAUCGAAGGUCCGGUUUUUUUUUUUUGUGCUUUUGUUGUGACUUUUUCGUCCUUUUGUGGUCCUUUUGGGUAGUACCUGGAAAUUAGCUGAGAUGAUGCAGCAACUCAUCAACCCUGCUCACCGGCUGCCUGAAAAAACGGUUUCAUUGGAAUAUUGAUUUUAAAAUGGGUUUACUAAACAGUGACUUCGAAUUCAAUCUUAGUUAUUGUUUUUAUGUUGUGUAUCGCUCACGCACUAGAGAACCGCCUUAUUGAGCAUCUGAAAGAACUCUUCUUCUUUGCUGCUUCAUCUUGAACCUUUUCUUGCUUAUAAUGAUUUACUUCAAAAUAGAUACAUGUAGAUCUAGAUCUUAUCAACUUAGCUCUGGGCACCAUUUCUUUCUUUUUCAUCUAUAACGUUGGAGGAGAAGUGGUGUUAGGGGCCCAGGGGGGAUGGGACAACAGUGGAUUGUUUCUUGUGGUUUACAGAAUGAUACAGAACAAGGAAAAAACCUUGUCUUUUGUGUGCAUGCUCAGCAUGUUUGCAUGCAUCUACAGAUGCAGCAUAUCUCCUUUAGCUUUGCUGCAUGCCAUGCUAAGUUAUGAUUUAUGUUGUGAGUACACCCUAUUGCCAGACCACCCUCUCUCUCCACAAAAUUGUGUUGAACUUCUUGCACCUCGGCUUGAGGAAAGCAUUUUGAAUACCUAGAGGGAUGGUAGGAAUAUGCAACCAAUAGUUAAACUUACCAAUAUGUUGGGCAUCAAAGAACAAAUAAAUGGUGGUAAUGAUUUGGCCCGUAACACUUUGAAUCUGAGCCCUGAGGUGGGUAUGGGGACAGAGUUGAGCAUCUUGCAAGAUGGACAAGAUUUGCAAGUGCAAUGGGCAGAUGUAACUGUUGUGCAAGGGCAAGGGCUAUCUUUGAGUCUCAGCACGCACAUACCAUCUGCAAUUACAGUUUCUUCUUUCCAAUUUCAUCAUGAAAAAUACUGAUGUUGCAUUCGUAGAUUUGCAGAUUUUUUUUUUGAGAAUGAAGCUCACAGAAAUGAUGGAUUCAGUUGUAAGCAGCCAAGUGGCAACAAAUGUUUCUUACUUUUACAAUUUGUAUUAUCACAAGUGCGUGAGAUAUACUGUAAUUUGCUAAUGAAAUGUUUUUGCAGGCAUGUGAUUUCCUUGAACAAGGCUAUAGGCCCACGAUUACCAUUAUUACAACAAGGAUUUUUUUUCAGAAUUCACAUGACAAUGUUCUGCCCGAAAUCAAGGGGACAACGGUGCAUUGAAUGAAUGGUAACCAAGAGGACAACAAAGAUAAAGGUAGAAAUUGGAUCUGCUGGUGCACUGGAUGAAACACUCUCUCUCUGUCUCUCAUAUGAUACACACUGAUGGGAAGGUGGCAGGCCAUCGAUUUCGUCCGCCUAAACCACAGCACGAUCUCCUUCUUCAAUUACAGCAAGCCGGAAGCCCCUGCUGCCAAAUGGAGUCGAGCUAGCGAAAACGCAUCGAAGGUCUGGUUUUUUGGUGCUUUUGUUGCGACUUUUUCGUCCUUUGGUGGUCCUUUUGGGUAUUAUCUGAAAAUUAGCCGAGAUGAUGCAGCAACUCAUCAACCCUGCUCACUGGCUGCCUGAAAACGGUUUCAUUGGAAUCUUAAUUUAAAAAUUGGUUUACUAAACAGUGACUUCGAAUUCAAUCUUAGUUACUGUUUUUAUGUUGUGUAUCGCUCACGCACUAGAGAAUCGCCUUAUUGAGUAUAAUGUUGCAGAUGUAGAUACUACGACUGAUUUGUGGGUUAAAUUAGAAAAAUUGUACUUGUCGAAGUCUCUCACAAAUAAGUUGUAUUUGAAAAAAUAGUGACUGAUGGAUCAAAUCUGUUUGAGCAUCUGAAUGCCUUCAAUAGGUUAAUUACUCAACUUCAAAGUGUUAAAGUAGAUGAAGAAGACGAGGUCCUUCUUCUUCUUUCAUGUAUGCCUAAAGUGUAUGACCAGCAAAGACACUUUAAAGCUUGAAGAAGUCGGAACUAUUUUGCUUUCAAAUGAAGCCAAGCAUAAGCCAAAUCGUGGAGAAAAUUUGGCGAGAGGUCGUCAAAAGCAUAAAUUCAGCAAAAAUUUAGAUCUCGAUCCAAGUCAAAAGGUAGAGACAACAGAUGUAGGUAUUGCAAAGAAGAGGGUCAUUGGAAGGUUGAUUGUCCAAAGCUUAAGGAAAAAUAUAAACAGAAAAAGAAAUCAGCCAAAGAAGCAAGUGUAGUAUCAGACGUCGAGAUGUGCUGGCCAUUUUUUCAGGUAAUAAUCUCCAACCUGAUGUAUGGAUUUUAGAUUCUGGAUGUCCAUACCAUAUGUGUCCUCAUAAGUUAUAAGUUAUGGUUUGAUUCUUAUACAUCAUGUGAUAAUGGAAAAGUGUUAAUGAGAAAUAAUAUAGAAUGUAAAUCAGUUGGAAUUGGAACCAUAAAAAUAAAAAUGUUUCAUGGUGUCAUUAGAACUUUAACAAAAGUUAGACACGUUCCAGAUUUAAGAAAAAGUCUUUAUUUCUAUUGGUACACUUGAUGUUAAUGGUUUUACUUUUAGUGGUGCUAAUGGCAUAUAGUGAAGCUGUUUUUUAGUAAAUAGAUCUCCUUCUACAACAUUAAAUUUGAAAGUGCCAGAGCCAGAUUACUCUGACAUACAUAUUUUUUGUUGUCCUAUUUAUGUGUUAUUGCAGGAAGGAGAAAGAAGCAAACUUGAUACUAAAUCAAAGAAAUGUAUCUUUCGUGGAUACAAAGCAGGUGUGAAAGCGUAUAAAUACUAUAAAGUAUGGAACCCCAACACACAAAAAGUGGAAAUUAGCAUAAAUGUAGUCUUUGAUGAAGAUUCAUUGUUAAAGAAAGUCCCAGAUUGUGAUAAAGACAUUGGCAAGAAACACAAUCCAAUUCAGCUAGAGUAGAGUAAUGACAAGAUCAACCAAAUUUUAGAAGAACCAUCACAAAAAAGUGAGGAAGAGGAACAACCACUUGAUGAACCUUAUUCUAUUGCAAAGGGUAGAGAAAGAAGGGAAGUUAAAUUACCUUUAAAAUUUCAAGAUACAAUAGCAUAUGCAUUUUCAGUUAUGUCUACUGAAUCUUUGACUUUUCAAGAAGUAAUAGAAAGCAAGGAUAGUGAAAGAUGGAUGAUUGCAAUGGAAGAUGAAAUGAAGUCCCUUCAAAAGGAUGAGAUGUGAGAAUUGGUAAGUCUUCCCAAAAGAAAGAAAAGAGGCAGUAAAAUGGAUUUUGCGAUAUUUGAAGGGCUCAUCAGAUUUUGGUUUUCUAUUUCAGGCAGGUACAAAUAUUUCUGAUGCUCUUAUCGGCUAUGUUGAUUCAGACUACGCAGGUGACUUGGACAAAAGAAGAUCAACAACAUGGUAUAUAUUUACUCUAGGUGGAGGCCCAAUUAGUUGGAAAGUUGCAUUACAGGAUAUUGUUGCUUUAUCAACAACUGAAUAAGAGUAUAUUGCUGCAGUAGAAGCUGCUAAAGAAGUAGUUUGGUUAAGAGGACUUGUUAACGAAUUGGGUAUUAUGCAGGAAAAUGCCAAAUUACAUUGUGAUAGUCAAAGCGCAAUAUGUUUGGCUAAAUAUUCAAUUUAUCAUGUAAGAACUAAACAUAUAGAUGUCAGAUAUCAUAAAAUCAAGGAGUUUGUGGCGAAUGGUGAAAUUCAACUGCAAAAAAGGUGGAGUCGCAACAUAGUGUGGUAGACAUGUUGACAAAACCUCUCACUACAACUAAAUUUCACCGUUGUCUGAGGUUGGCUCAGAUUUGUGCAUGUUAACAUGUUUGGAGUCAUAUUGAGCACGAUUGAUCUUAUAUAUUUUUUGGAUUAUGACCAAGCCAAUAAGGUGGAGUGUUGUUAUUAUUUUUGACUUGGUCAUAUGCAAGUCAACAGUGGGCAUUUGUGUCUUUUUUCAAACACCUUACUUUUGCUUUAUGUAAGGGUUCAACUUCUUUCCCCUUUUUUUGCCUCUUGCCUUCAUUUUGUGGUAUGCGACUUUGGUGGAGUGUCUCAAGGAGUGGCCUGCGACUUUGGUGGAGCCUCUCAAGGAGUGGCCGUAAACAUGGAGCCUCCACUACCAACUCUCUCACUUGCUGCAAUUUUUUUUUGGGCAGUUAUUUUUCUAUUGCAUUAAAAACAUGUAUGUUUUUCAGUUUUUCAAGAGAGGAUGAACACACAGAAGAAAGAGGGUUUUGGGGGGCUGAAUGUCACAACAUAGCAUUGUUCUUGGAUCUCACUGUAUUUUGAUGCUUCAUAUAAUAUGAAUCUUGCUGGUUUCUCCCCGUGGAUGUAGGAAGGCAAACAGUAUAUCCGAACCACGUAAUUUGAGUGUCUUUUGUGUGAUUUGGUUUCUCUGUUUUUUCCAUCUGUCAGUUUAUUUUUCUAGUGACUCUCUUGAUAUCACAGACACAUAUUUGUUUACAGAGUGACUGUUUACACUUUACUCUAUUUUUGCUUGCAAUCUGGACCUCUCUUUUACAACAGGAAGGUUGGGUGGAAAUCUCGAUAAACACUUCAACUUCUGUCAAUGGUUGUACUGUUGUAGGUUUUUCUAAGAGAAUUGGACUGUUUGAUGCCAACAACACUAUCUUCUCUACGUUUCUUCACUUUCAAGAAUUUAUUGAUGGGCAUGCUCUGAUUUCAGAUAUCCUGUAAUAACUGACAAGUUUCAUGGGGUGGUAGAUUUUCCAGGUUAGUUUUUUAGAGUUUAUCAUAUAAACCUGCCAAAUGCUUGAACAUUAGCCUUCUGUAUUUGCUUGAUGCACUGCACAAUGAUCUUAUAACCCCAUGUUUUUCUUGAUCCGUGGAAAGAGAAUCUAUUAGUUGUAAUAAACUAAAGGACCAUCUUUCUAUAAAUAACUGAUAAUGGGUUAAGUUUUUCAACCAAUGCAUUUUUUUGCAGUGGCGCACAUUUACAAGUUAUGUUUGGUUUCCUUUUUCAUAAACUUCUUGAUAAGAAGGUGGUUGAGUGAAAUCUCAGAUUGAUAUAAAGACCCCACCUAGAGUUGGUAUGCGAGAUUCCAAACCGUCCAACUACUUUAGCAGUAUAACCAACAGCUUAUAAACUUGUCGAGAUCUCGUAUAUUUCCUUGUCCUUUACGUGCAUGAGGCUCUUCAGCAUCACACGAUAUAACGUUUUGUUUCUUAAUUCGCAAAUGGAGUCUAGGGGAUCUUUACAUCCUUGUAUGCUCAAAUAUGGUAAUUCGACCUCAUCCAACUUCACGGUCAAGGGAUUAAGCUCCUAAUUUCCCAGGCGGACUGGCAAAGCUGCAUAAUUGCAACUCUAAUUGACAAGACAAUAUAUGAAAUGAACCAUAAGAGUUCUGAGCAAAUUAAUUUUUGAGAAAUGAUUCAUUUAUUCAAAUUUGUUUUCGUACAAAAUAUGGAUUUUAUGACCAAGGGCCAGGCAGCUUUUAAAUUAAUUUGUUUGACACUAGUCAAAAAGAGAAAAUGAGUGAUCAUGUAUAUUGUAUCGAGUGGUGUGCUGAAGACUGAAAAUUUUCAGUCCAAACUUAGAUUGGAGAAAUCUGUAAAUUCUAUAUAUAUGUAGCUAACCUUGAUGAAAAAAUCUAUAAAUACUUUAUAUAUUUAUAUAGCCAUUAAGAUUUCUAUUGCAUAGGGCUGCUAACAUGAGAGGCACUUUAGGGGGCUGGGUUAUAUAUAUAUAUAGGGGGCUGAGUUAUAUAUAUAUAUAUAUCUAAAGCACUGGAUUCUCAUGGCCAUCCCGCCUCAUUAGCACAGCCCCAAAAAAAAAAAGACAUUGGGCUGCGUGUGUGAGAGAGAUUUCUCUCGCAGCUGCAGGAAUCCAUGUUAUUUAUAUAAUAGAAAGAGAGAGUGCGAGUGUGUGGGUGAGAGUUCGCGCCGUGCCGUUGAAUCUGCCCUCCCUUAUUUUCUUGUUGCCUGAGGCGGAACCGACAAAAGUCCUUGGAUGGAAUGGAUGGACCGGUUCAAUGGCAGACACUAGCGGUCUGCCAGUAUUCUGAGUUGUAGAAAAUUGGCUAGUUUUCAGCUUUUGUGCCUGACUUGUACAACCAACUAGCAACCCAAAGAUCUUUUUGUUGUUGAACGUUCUAUCAUGGGUCAAUUCAACAAGGGAAACCAAAUGAAAAGCUCCUCCCAAAUAUCAGACCUCCAGUCGAAGAAAAAAAAGGAAAAAUAGAAUAUCACCUGAAUUCUUCCCUGAAGAAACCAUACCACCUUGAUUCUGUCGAUUCCGCUGAUUUGCUCGGCGCUUCUUCCGUUUUUCCUUCUCGCCUUCUUCGAACCUCUCAGCGACUAAGUCUAUAAGACCCCGUCAUUCCUUCGUUCCCCUUCAUAACUCUACCAAACAAAUUUGCACAAAAGAUCUCGGAGCAAGAAGAAAAAGAACAAAGCAACAAGAUAAGCGAAAAGGAACUGGGACCCUAAUCUAUGGUUCUUUUCACACGCUUCGAUCAGUCUCAUCCCAACAAAAAACACAGACGAAACCGGUGCGGGAGACUCUUCCUCCUUCUGGAACUCAAAAGGGCAUACGGCAUGUGGA